CCUACGGGAGGCAGCAGUGGGGGAUAUUGCACAAUGGGGGGAACCCUGAUGCAGCGACGCCGCGUGGGUGAAGAAGUGCUUCGGUAUGUAAAGCCCUAUCAGCAGGGAAGAAGCAAGACGGUACCUGACUAAGAAGCCCCGGCUAACUACGUGCCAGCAGCCGCGGUAAUACGUAGGGGGCAAGCGUUAUCCGGAUUUACUGGGUGUAAAGGGAGCGUAGACGGCAAUGCAAGCCGGAGGUGAAAUCCCCGGGCCCAACCCGGGAACUGCUUUUGGAACUGCAUGGCUGGAGUGCGGGAGGGGCAGGCGGAAUUCCUGGUGUAGCGGUGAAAUGCGUAGAUAUUAGGAGGAACACCGGCGGCGAAGGCGGUUUGCUGGACAGUGACUGACGUUGAGGCUCGAAAGCGUGGGGAGCGAACAGGAUUAGAUACCCGUGUAGUC
rnacentral:rRNA from 1 species